GCGGAGGAAAAGAAACCAACAGGGAUUGCCCUAGUAACGGCGAGUGAAGCGGCAACAGCUCAAAUUUGAAAUCUGGCGUCUUUGGCGUCCGAGUUGUAAUUUGCAGAGGGCGCUUUGGCAUUGGCAGCGGUCCAAGUUCCUUGGAACAGGACGUCACAGAGGGUGAGAAUCCCGUACGUGGUCGCUAGCCUUUACCGUGUAAAGCCCCUUCGACGAGUCGAGUUGUUUGGGAAUGCAGCUCUAAAUGGGAGGUAAAUUUCUUCUAAAGCUAAAUACUGGCCAGAGACCGAUAGCGCACAAGUAGAGUGAUCGAAAGAUGAAAAGCACUUUGGAAAGAGAGUUAAAAAGCACGUGAAAUUGUUGAAAGGGAAGCGCUUGCAGCCAGACUUGCCUGUAGUUGCUCAUCCGGGUUUUUACCCGGUGCACUCUUCUACGGGCAGGCCAGCAUCAGUUUGGGCGGUUGGAUAAAGGUCUCUGUCAUGUACCUCCUCUCGGGGAGAACUUAUAGGGGAGACGACAUGCAACCAGCCCGGACUGAGGUCCGCGCAUCUGCUAGGAUGCUGGCGUAAUGGCUGUAAGCGGCCCGUCUUGAAACACGGACCAAGGAGUCUAACAUCUAUGCGAGUGUUUGGGUGUCAAGCCCGAGCGCGUAAUGAAAGUGAACGGAGGUGGGAACCUUUCGGGGUGCACCAUCGACCGAUCCUGAUGUCUUCGGAUGGAUUUGAGUAAGAGCAUAGCUGUUGGGACCCGAAAGAUGGUGAACUAUGCUUGAAUAGGGUGAAGCCAGAGGAAACUCUGGUGGAGGCUCGCAGCGGUUCUGACG
rnacentral:sRNA from 1 species